rnacentral:rRNA from 1 species
AUUGAACGCUGGCGGCAUGCCCUACACAUGCAAGUCGAACGGUAACAGGUCUUCGGAUGCUGACGAGUGGCGAACGGGUGAGUAAUACAUCGGAACGUGCCCAGACGUGGGGGAUAACGAGGCGAAAGCUUUGCUAAUACCGCAUACGAUCUAAGGAUGAAAGCAGGGGACCGCAAGGCCUUGCGCGUUUGGAGCGGCCGAUGGCAGAUUAGGUAGUUGGUGGGAUAAAAGCUUACCAAGCCGACGAUCUGUAGCUGGUCUGAGAGGACGACCAGCCACACUGGGACUGAGACACGGCCCAGACUCCUACGGGAGGCAGCAGUGGGGAAUUUUGGACAAUGGGCGAAAGCCUGAUCCAGCAAUGCCGCGUGCAGGAUGAAGGCCUUCGGGUUGUAAACUGCUUUUGUACGGAACGAAAAGGCUCUGGCUAAUACCUGGGGCACAUGACGGUACCGUAAGAAUAAGCACCGGCUAACUACGUG